GCUGGGGUGGCGGAGUCUGGCCAAACGCGCAGGGCUUAGGACCCUGUAGCUUAGUGCUUGCGCAGGUUCAAAUCCUGCCCCCAGCA
rnacentral:tRNA from 1 species